AAUGACUUGAGAGUAUCUCUUGUUCCUCCUUCUAUCCCCUCGCAUGCUCCCUUUGUCUCACUCUGUUCUUCCUCGAAUUUUAAUCAUGUUAGUGAUGUGGAGCAUCCCACGGACAUCACCAUAUCAAGUGCCCCAUCGUCAAGAGACGCACGCAUAUCCCACAUCAUAUAAGGUUAAUCUUAUCCUUUACACAUGUCUAGUUUGCUCUCUCGAGGGUGGUAUACUACUUGACUCUCCUACCUUGUUCACCUUUAGGUCUGAGCCGAAUGUCACACUUGGCACGGAGAAGGUCAAGCACAAGAGAACAAAUAUGUCAUCCAAGAGGGAAGCAUGGAAUCGGAGAAGGAACCAUCAAGAGAAAGGCCAGAUUUGGGAAGCAUCGACAAGCGUCCACGCGAACUCCAGCAGCUAAUUAAGAAGCUCUCUAAAAAUCCCGUGGUCAUGGGCCACUGGACCCCCGUCCCCACAGGGUCUUGCCACCAACCUCUCUGGAAUCUCAGUGCCCAUGGGCCUGCCUGCAAGCAGCUGUUGGAAAAUGCCCAUGUAUUUUAGCUCAUCACUUGGGCAAUGCCCAUGUAUUCUUGUCUUUUUUCCCUCACUUGCCCUUUCAUGCCUAGGACUAUAUAUACCUCUCCCCCCCCCCUCAGAUAUAGGGUUAGUCGAGACAAGAAUAGACAUUCAUAGAUCUUAGCUCAUUCGCCUCUCAUUGUGGGUUUCCUCCUAGUGGAGAAGACUCCAAUGGAAUAGAAGGCCACCCACCAAGUGAAGACUCCAAGGAGUACAGGGCCACCUAUUGGAUGAAAGCUCCAUGAGCACAAGACCAGCUUCCAUGGACAAGAUUUCCCAUGUGGAACUCAAGCGCUCCUUGUCUUAGGACUUGGGGAAGAACUCUAUCAUGGUCCAUCUCUCUCUUAUGGAUGAUUUGGUUCAAGGAUUUACCUAUGUGUGUCUUGUACUGAAUCAAUGUGUGUUGAU
rnacentral:rRNA from 1 species